UACAGGGGGUGCAAACGUUGCUCGGAAUCAUUGGGCGUAAAGCGCACGUAGGCGGUCCACUAAGUCGGAUGUGAAAGCCCUGGGCUCAACCCAGGAAGUGCACUCGAAACUGGUGGACUAGAGUAUCGGAGAGGUUGGUGGAAUUCUCGGUGUAGAGGUGAAAUUCGUAGAUAUCGGGAGGAACACCAGUGGCGAAGGCGACUACCUGGCCUGUUCUUGACGCUGAGGCGCGAAAGCUAGGGGAGCAAACGGG
rnacentral:rRNA from 1 species